UUUUGUGGACCCUGCACCAAACAGGGGACCCAAUUAUAUCCCGGAUCUCAAUGUCUCGCCGCCGGAUGCGACGGCGCCGGCGAUGGAGUUCGUCGGAGAAAUAAAGAGCCAGAACAUCUCCCGGUUCAUUGAUUACGUGGUGGGGUACCUGGGCGAGUACGGGAGUGAUGAUUCGGUGGCGGAGUACAGGAAGAUUCUGAGCAGCAAAAGUGAAGACGAAAUCGGAAACCUUGAUUCGAUUCGUGUCUGGAAUAUUCUCACCCUGAGAACCGAAAUUCAGAAGGCGCUCGUUGCGAAAGGCCUUGUUGAAGCCCCAAUCGGCUCCGAUGAUGUUCAAUUCCCGGCGCAGCAGCAGCUGCUUCCCAUUCCACAACAAGGCUGGACGGCCGCCCUUAACCAUGCUCAUAUUCAUUGUCAUGUCACUGCUGCUGCCGCCGGCACCGGUGCCAAUUUUAACGGCAACGACAAAACUAUGGUACUAUUCAGUAAUUAGUAUAUGGGUAGCUUCAACUUGAUUGCAUUGAAUAUCUGUUUUCUUUGUUUUCAGUCGGAUGGUCGCAAUUAUGGUGUUGGUUAUGAGAAGCAGAGCAACGUGGCAAAGCGGAAGGCGGUGGCUGUUGGUGGUGUGGACGAGGACGACCCAUGUUGUCCCUAUGAUCAGCCGAUGAAGAAGCCCAGCCACGGCGUCGGCGGGGUUCUUUGGAUCGAUGAGGCUAAAGCCCUGGCUCGGGACAAGGCGCCUAUUGAUGAAGCAGAGGAGGAGGGCGUGUCCACUGACUGAAUCAAUCCUCCGAAAAGUCCCUUUUGAUUGUUUUGUUUAUUUAUUUAUUUGUUUUUUUUUAUACUGGAAGGCUUGUGUGUGAAACUUGUGUGUUGUUUUGUUCCUUUUGCUUUUGCUGGGUUGGUUUGUGUAGAAGAGAGUGAGGGUUUGUUUCCACUUUAUUGAAUAAAGUAAUUUGUAAUUGCGCUUAGAUAUUGCGUGUGGCCACUUAAUUGCGCUUUAGAUACAUUAAAGCUGUCGUGUGUUGGGAAGAAUAAGACGGUUGUGUCCAUUUUGGCGGGCAUUUUGGCUGUUGCGCGCGUUUGAUAAAUCAUCCAUCGAAGUUGGAUGUUUGGAUGCAGACAAGGCUUGGCGGUCGCAAGCUCGAGUGACCAAUUGCAAUUUCCAAUUAAAUAUUUAACAUUAAAGAAUUGAAUAUUAAUAAAUUUAGGCACACGUUCAAUAAAAAAUAUUUAUUCUUCUUGUGAAAUUCUAUUUAUACUUGGGAAGUGUCCCCUUUUCCAUUUUGAAAGCACUCGCAUAAAACUGCCACAGAAGAGUACAAAUGUAUAAUCAUUCUUCCUUUUUCUUUCUCUCUCUUUACAAUAAAAAAUUCUGUUUGAUAUUUUCCUAAUUUGUUUGGGGCAGUUUCUGACCAUUCAAAUUGUAGAAUUUUUGAUCCGAUGCCCAACAUCUAUGUCUCUGUGUAUUGGUUGUACCGGAUAAAAGGACAUGAUUUUCUAAAAGUUAUGACAUGAAAGUGCUUCAACUAAAAUCCUGACCUGGAAUUCCUUUUUUGUUUUCUUUCUAUAUCAUGCCGUUUUACUUAAAUAUAUAUAUAUAUAUAUAUAUAUAUAUAAAAUGGAGGGAGGGAGAGCAGAGGUGGGCCCAGAUUUCUUUUCUCUUUGAUCAGGACAGAGACCAAGGUUGAACCUUCAAAAGCUCUAAAUUUUUUAGAAAAUAUUAUAAUAAUAUGACGCUUUCUACAAAUACAUCUCCUCCAAUCCCACCACCACCGCCUUCCUUCUCCAAAAUCCCAAACUCCAAACCCAACAAAAAUUCAACAAUGAUGUCGACCUCUCCGAAUCCAGACGCCUCUGUUUUUGCAAGCAUAAUGGAACUUCACUUCAAAGAACUCGAUCUGAUCCUGGAACAGCUUCUCCUCAACAAAGAACAAAUGCUUCCCAUACUUCAAAAGUGCUUCUCACUCACUUUCCUGAAAGAGGGUCUUGCAGAACAAAUUGCUGUCCAUAAACGCGAUUCAGCCGAUCGGAUUAACCCCGGUCCGCUGGACUCUGCUCUUCUCAAGGACUGCGUGGCGCAGGUUCUGGUGCCCAGCAACAAACGCUUCAUCAAAUUUGUGCAUUGCUACCUGCUUGAAGCUGGCAAGGAGAAACAAGCUGAAGAGUACCUGCAAAAGGUGAGCCCUGCAUCUCGGGUCCAACACUUGGACUCCAUCAAUAUUUGGAAUUACCUUACUCUGCCAUGCCAGGUGUUCAAUAAGGUAAUGGAAGAUAUGGGGUUAGGCGAAAAUCCUUCCAAUUUCUUCAUGCCUCCAGCAGCACCUGAGGUUUUUCCCACUCCGGCACCGGGCUGGAGGCCUGGCCAGGCUAUGGCCGACGGUAACGUUCCGUGACCUUGCUUUAGAGGCCUAAUUGACAGCUUGGUAAAUAAAUUUGGAGUUUUACUUUUACAGCAAACCUUUUUCUUUUUCUUUUUUCUUUUUUGGGUAAAUAUUUUUUCUGUAAGAAAUUUGUUGAUUUGGGUUUACUUGGGUAAUGAUAAGAAUGUUGUAUGCGUGUAUACAUGCUUAGUCAAUAAUUACGUUUAUUAGCAUCGAGUAACACAGCAUGACAGAGAUGUAACAGAGCAUUGAGUAAACUGUGGCCAAAAGCAUGAUUUCUAUCUUUGGAGAGUUAUGAUGUGGAGUGCCCGCUCUUUGUAAUUCUCUAUAUAUAGUAAACAGACUGUUUAUUUUGUAAAAUAGAGGUAGAUUAAUUGUGCUGAAUGAAAUUCUUACAUUUGCGGUCUAUUUUGUUGUUGAAAAAUGAAUACCUAUGUUUCAAUCUUGCUUCAGGAUGAGGCUGGCAUUGUUCCUGAGACCGAGGACAGCACUUCAACAGCCGUGGAGCCUAACCCUGUUGGACUAGUUCUUCACGUAGGUGAGGUUACAGACCGGUCUAUGAUGGAUGCUGCAGCUGAAGACAAGAAGAAGAAGGGGGUGAUUCUUCUGACACAGACUAAGCAUCACCCAGUUAUCCUGUUUUCUUUCUUUUUACUUUGAAGACUACAAUCAUCCUGGUUUUGCUAUUGCAAUGAUUCCAUAUAUACUUGCGGUAUGUAUUAGGAGCCAUGACUUCCUGCAAUCCAUUUGCGUAUGUACUUGCUGCAAGGGAUAUGCAUCCUUGUUUAUGUUUGGACAUCUUUUUAACAUUGGUUGAUCCUGUUAUGAAUGCUGCUUUGAUAUAAACUGAUUACCCGCCACUUGCACAAUUGCACUCUGUUUGGUACCUAAGAAUGCAUUAUAAAUUUCAGUGAGAUCCAAGAUUCACUAUAAAUUCUAGGAAGCAUGAUAAGCCCCAAACUACUGCAUGUACCUUAUAUAUAGUCAUCGGCUGCUUGAUUCAUGAAGUCCUUGGGUGUUAUUGAAUUCUGCAUUCGAAUAUGGAUGUAUAAUUCACACAUACGUAUUAUAAUGAUAACAUGAUAACAUGUUUAGUUCUGUUUUCUCAGCAUGAUAAUCAAUCCUCUAUAUAUAUGUUGCCCUGUAAGAUUGUUUCCAUUAUCUCCCGAAAUUGUCCUUACAAACUGGUUCUAAGCACAAAUGUUACCGUCAUGGGUUACUACGACUAUAACAUUAGAUCCAAUUCUAUAGGAAUCUAGUGCUGGUACUCUUGAAUCUUUGCAUCAUCUUUUUAUUCCACGCUAUAGUUGCAUGUAUGCAUUGCAUGCAAAUCACUAAUGCGUAUCUAUUUCUGAAAACAGAUUAAUCUACGAGGUAACAAUUUCCUUCCCUGAUGGAAUUUCUUACAACACCAAGCAUAUUUCCUAGGUUAGAAAGGUAGCAACCAGAUUCAUCCUCUUAGAACAACUUGCAAGAUUUCCUGUAUUUGACUGCUCAUAUUCCCCUACUCGUUUUUAAAACCCAGAAAACCCCCUUCCUAUAGCAUAUCGAGUCUAUUUUUGCAGAAGCUUAAAAAAUGCCAUGGUUUUACACUGGUAUUGGUUUAUCUGGUAUGAAACCAGAUUAAAGAUACUGAUUCGUAUGAAUCUUGCAGCUUAAUAUGUACAUACUAUACAACUGCUUAUCAAUAUGCCACACAAAUGUUGCAAAUCGCCGUAUUUUAUCAUUUGCCUCGUUAGUUUUGGAAAGUAGAAUAUCCACCAUUCCAAAAGAGAAAUGCAUGCCCGACACCCAAAUCCUCUUUUAGUUUAGUAGAGAGUACAGACACUUUUGUUUACGUCUCAAACCCAAACACCCACGAACACAAGUACUUGCUUGUGUGGCCCCAAAUUCAUGCGCAAAAUAAGAAAUCUAGACCCUGUUGAGAUUUAUCUUAAUUAUGUUUUCUGCAGAAUAAUUAUUAGUUCCUAUUUUAUAGGAGUCAGUUGUUUUUCUUUCCUGGUCUUCAGAAAUCCCUCUAGUUGAUAGAGUUUGUUAGACGUGUUUUAGUUGUUCCUCUUUAUUUGCUAAUUAGUUGUUUGUACUCUCCUUUAUAAGAAGAGCAUGUUUCAGUCAAUAAAUAAUAAGUUAAGUUCAGCAAUUCUAUUGUCUUCUUAUUUUCAAAGCUAUCUUUUAGUUCUCACAAUCUGGUAUCAGAGCCCCCACUGGGCCUGACUUAAAAUUCUCCAAAAAGCAGCAGCUUUCUUAACUUGCAGCAGCAAGAAUUGAUGGCAUCCGACAAGGUUCAAGAGAACUACGUGCAGCCGGCCAUACCUCGCUUCGAUGGUCAUUAUGACCAUUGGGGCAUGUUGAUGGAGAAUUUUCUGAGAUCCAAAGAGUAUUGGAGUCUCAUUGAAAAUGGAAUUGCUGAACCAGCAGAGGGAGCGUUGUUGACAGAAGCGCAACAGAAAAGACUUGAUGAACAGAAAUUGAAGGACCUGAAAGUGAAAAACUACCUCUUCCAAGCAAUUGAUCGAUCCAUUUUGGAGACUAUUCUCCAGAAGGACACUUCCAAGCAGAUAUGGGAGUCUAUGAAGAAAAAGUAUCAAGGUUCCACCAAGGUAAAGCGUGCACAGCUUCAAGCACUCCGGAGAGAUUUUGAAACUCUUCACAUGAAACCAGACGAUUCUGUUGAUGAAUACUUCUCAAAAAUGAUGGCAAUUGCAAGUAAGAUGCGGCUUCAUGGUGAUAAGAUGGAUGAUGUCACAAUCAUUGAAAAAAUUCUUCGUUCAAUGUCACCAAAGUUUAACUAUGUUGUUUGUGCAAUUGAGGAAGCAAACGACAUUGAAACAAUGUCAUUAGAUGAAUUGCAAAGUUCACUGUUGGUACAUGAGCAGAAAUUCAAAAGUCAUGACACUUCAAAAGAAGAGAAAGCUUUAAAAGUCUCAACCAGCAACGACUCAUCAUCAUCAUGGAGAGGUUCCGGACGUGGUCGAGGAAGAGGCCGUGGACGAGGUAGAGGCAGAGGUGCUCAUGAUUCCGGAGGCAGAACUCAUGAUUCCAGCAAUAGAGGAAAUCACGAUUCCAGCAACAGAGGAAAUCACGAUUCCAGCAACAGAGGAAAUUAUGAUUCCAGCAACAGAGGCAAAGAUUUAUACAGACACCAAAGUUAUCAUGAGUCACAGCUCGACAAAUCAAAUAUUGAGUGCUAUAGGUGCGGUAGAUAUGGUCACUACCGUUCUGAAUGCCGCACUAACAUGAAUAGAGAAAGGGGAGAAAAAUCCAAUUUUACGGAGAAAGAAGAAGAAGCUACACUUUUGCUGGUAUGUCAAGCCGUGGAGAACACUCAGGAUGUAUGGUACAUUGACACAGGAUGCAGUAACCAUAUGAGCGGUAACAAGUCAUCAUUCUCUUACUUAGAUGAGUCUUUUCGAUCUACUGUUCGUUUUGGUGAUAAUUCUGCAAUUUAUGUUAUGGGAAAAGGCAAUAUUUCAAUAUGGACCAAGGAUAACACUACACAAACCAUCUCUAGUGUUUUCUAUGUCCCAGAUUUAAAAAGCAAUUUAUUAAGUGUGGGGCAGCUUCAGGAAAAAGGCUAUGAGAUCACAAUUAAAGAAGGAAUGUGUCAGAUUCAAGAUUCAAAGAAAGGACUCAUUGCACAGGUCAAAAUGACACCAAAUCGUAUGUUUCCUCUGCAUAUUCAAAGUGUGGGCCAGACUUGUUUUUCUGCCAAAGUGAAGGAGACAGCUUGGUUGUGGCAUUAUCGUUAUGGCCACUUAAAUUUCAAGGGAUUGAAGACUCUACAGACCCUACAUCCAUAAUUUCAUUGCUUACUAUAUUCAUGAAUGUAAGAAUAUCCAUCAUAAGAUUAAUCAUUUGAAACUUUAAAUACAAAUUUUUCCAUCAAGAUUGAGUGAUUGCAGAACUUACACAUUAAUAUUGAAUCUGCAUUACUGUGAACAGUUAUGAAGAACCCCCGAGUCUCUCAGAUGAUAUCUGCAAACCAUGAAAAGCCCAAAAGCUUUACGCCAUUGCUAAACACAGAAUCAAGUAAAAUUCAACAGCAUUGUCAGAUUCAAAUUGCCAUGAAUUUAAUUCCAUGUCAAAUUCUUCACCUCAUUGUGGCAGCUGAACCACCAUGAUGCUGUGGUUGUUGUGUUCAAUGUACCAGGCAAUUAUCAUAAGCCAUAGGAAAGCGCUAAAGAUCUUGCUUUGGGCUGGCUGUCUAUAAGUCCCAGAACGUGAAGCUGGUGUCGAAAACCAACAGCACGCCAGCCAUAUUUAUAGUUCCAUACGGAAACAGCAUUUGUGGAGGGUGCGGCGUUUGAAUGACUUUCAGAAAACAAAAUUUAUAUCUAAAGGGGGCAUUUCCGUGGUUUUCCAAAGUACAAUGGGCAAAAUUGAAAUUUCAGAAUCUUUGAGCUUCAUUUUCGACUUUUUAGAAAAGUCAUUAUUUUCGAGAACAACCACCAUGAUCAUUGAGUUAUUAUUGGUUCACUGGGUCUUUAUUUGCAUUUGGUUACCUUGGAAUUAUAAGUAAUUCUUGGUGUUGUUCUUGUUAGAUAUGUAAAUUUGGAACUUUUCAACCACUGUAUGUAGGCAACUUAGGUGCAGUUGCAAAGUUAAACACUUUACGUCAUGUUCUUUUACAUCAAGAAUAGUUGCUGUAAUUUGAUUAUGUGGUAUUUUGGAUUGAGGGUCUGAGACCCACUUUGGAUCGAUUAUUGCUUAUGGUUGUGAAAAAAGGGCCUGAAGGCCAUUAGAAUUGUUGCUAGGGUGUAGUUGACUUAUAUGUCAUGCUUGUUGAACGAUUGGUGAGUAAAUUGUGUUUUCUGUGCAAGUGGAUUUUGGGUUUAGUAAUUUAGACCAACACCUGCAAAUUGUUGGACAGACAUAAAAUUCAUCGUGGAUUCCAAAAAAAAAUUCGGAAUGAAUCCUGUCAAUAAUAAUUUGAAUUAUUUUGUAAAAUUUUCAACAAAGUCCCAUCCCAAGUUAUUAGGCGCAUUUUCAAAUUUUGGAGAGCUAGCUAGACUGGUUUUCCAUAGACAAUGCAUGCAUCACAGAGAGUGAGAGACCAACGUUUGUGCUAUGUUAUUGAUGUUGAGCUUUGGUGUUUGCUUCUUUAGCCUUGGUGAUGUGUCAAAAUGCGCUUAGCAGGAAGGUUUGGGAGUUUAUUUUUUUAGUUUGGACGAGCCGAUAUCCUUGACUUUUCAACCUAACAAACUCUCCCUCCUCUAGAUAUCUCAUGUGAAUGCUGAAUCAAGUCCAUUCGUGCCGAAUCAAGUUGAUUUGUGUAAUAGGUGAAAAAAAGAAGAUGAUUCCGUUUGACAUGGAUGCAAUGCAUGUAUAAUUUGAUCAACAAAACAAAAUAUUUCAUUUUCUAGCGGAUCGCCCUCUCUUCAACGAAAGUGAAGGUCCACGACAAAAUAAUUAGCCAAUUUAACACCAAUUUGUAGCAAAAUAUCAGAAGAAAAUAAAUAUGUGAGGAUGGUAAUGGUUACUGGAAGAAUUUCUUUAGACGCAUUUGAUGGUUGGGAUUGCACUUUUUAUUGUUAAUUUUUAAUUUUUAUGAGCCGCUAUCCUUGACCUUCCCUCGUAGCUACCUACCUCAACCCUCAUUCUCUCCCCUCCAUCUCAAUUUGAUGGAUGCCCUCAUGAUCAUUUCACAUAGGAACAAUUCAACAAAAAAUAAAAAGAAAGAAGAAAGGAUGAAGGACGUCCCGCGAAUAAUUAACACAAAUUUGCAGCAAAAUUUGGCAUGUUGGAGAUGGAUAUCUUACUAUCUUAUUGACAGAAAAGGAUGUCAUGCGACCGCCAGACGCGCGAUCUUUUGGAAUAUAUUUGAUUUAAGAUAAGAAUAUCUCCCUAAAUCAAGGAACCAAUUUUCACUAAAUCUCUUAAAAUAAUUCAUAUAAUUUUGUUGGGAAAGAAUAAUCCUAACCAAAUAAGGAUUAUUCUUCCAAAAUCCUAGCACACAAGGAGACCAUAAAACACUCUAGAGUCGUUUUUAUUUUGAAUGGGGAGGAAGCCAUUCUUCUUCCCUUCUCCCCUCCUCUCUUCCUUCCCGCUCCUUUCCUCGCUUCUAUCUUCACCCAGAGACAAAAGAUUUCUCAUAUUUUUCUUCGUUUUGUUAUGAUUUUUCUGUACUCAUAACAAAUAGAUGCAUCUCGGCGUCAGAUCUCAAUCUUGAUUACUGUAUUAAUUUAAUGAUGUCAACUAAAUUCUUGUUAUUUGAUUAUAUAUUGAAUUUCAUUUGAGCUUCUUAAAACAAUUCUUCGACUGAACUUUAGAUCGAAUUGCUGACGAGGUUCUAGUCAAAUUAAGUUUGGUCAGCCGUGGGUCUUUGGAUUUGACGAGCCAUUUUAACACUCUUGGUCAGCCGACAUAUUAUUAUUAUUAUUAUUAUUAUUAUUAUGAUUUAAUUUCUUGUUUGAAUGUGUAAUAUUAAAAUCCAAAGGUGAAAUUUAGAGAAAGGGUAAUAAUGGAAAGUGGGGCUCUUCCCAAACUAGGAAAAAAGAAGGGUAUGUGCGGUGUAUACACGUGGACGGCAGCGACGGAGAUGUGAUGAUGAUGUAACCAUGCAGUCAAGCAAUUAGUGGAACUUCUAGAAGUAAUUUGACUUGUGAGAGUUGUAAACAUAAACGAAAACUAGCUUAUUUAUAGAAAAGAAAAUCUUUGGGGCCUUAGGGGCAGCGACUUAAAUUAAUAAUUUAAUUUAUCCUGAUAUAAUAACAAUAAUAAAACACAUAAAAAAUGAUAAAGGGGGCAAAGCUAUAAAAGAGCUUGCUUAAUUAGGAAUGUUUAAAGAUGAUAAAGGGGGCAAAGCUAUAAAUUAAAAGUGCUUAAUUAUUUAGAGGGCUUGUCUUUAAUUUGACCCAAGGAUGAAAGAAAAAAGAGAUCAAAGAUCCAGUUCCAACACUUACAAUGGCGGUGAUGGUAGGACCCUGUGAUAACUGAAGUCCUACGAGAAGAAUCUUCGCAUUUGGUUGCUAAUUUUAUAAAUGGAGUUUAUGCAAUUUGAUUUGUCGCCAACCCUACAAGUAGCUAAUCCUAUAUUUUAUGUGUUUUUCCUGAAUAGUAUUAGUGUGGGUCCAAUUUUGGAAAUAUUAAAGAAAAAAAUACAAAGAUGAUAACCCUUUUGUUUGUUUUAAUCUAUUUAUUUAUUAUAAAGAAUAUUUGUCGUCUACUAUUAUAAAGCCAGGCGAAAUUAUAGAGAAAUCAAGCGCAUAUUCAGGUUACUAUUUAUUUAAUCAAAAGCUUGCAUGCAUAAUGCAUAGGUGGGGUUGGGAUAUAUCAUUUAUAUAAUUUUAAUUAUAUGCAAUUUCUUUUCCUGAUGUCUGUUAAUGACAUAAGCUACGGUUUUCCUCUUCUUUUGGUUUUAUUAGAGGUCAAAAAUCACUUUUGGCCUUUGUAGUUUGACACUUCAAUUAUUUUUGACCAUAUAGUUUUAAUUUCAUCAAUUUUGUCAUUUUAGUUUUGUAUUUGUAGCAAUUCAAGGACAUGUUGUUAUUCUUGUCAAUUUCUUUGACAAUGUAAGGGGCAAUUUUAUAAAACAAAAACCCUUUAGCGUAAAAGUUUGUUUGAAAUUCUUCCCAUUUCAUAUUAAGGCUCGAAAUUCAACCACCAAUCCUAAUUUUUGAAGAAUCCUAAACCCAAAUGACCGAUUUCAAGCUCUAAUAUGAAAUUAUGGAAGUUUUUGACGAGCUUUUAUGCUCAAGGAUUUUUGGUUGACGAAAUUGCCCAUUGCAUCGUCAAAGAAAUUAAUAGGAAUACUAACUUGUCUUUAAAUUGCUACAAAUAUGAAACUACAGGGUCAACAUUGACGGAAUUGAAACUAUAAGGUUAAAAGUGUUUGAAGUGCCAAACUACAAGGACCAAAAGUGAUUUUUAGCCUUAUACAUAUUAUUCAUGUCUUUUAGCAUGAUAUUGUUCACUUUGGGCUCAUGCCCUCACGGUUUUGUUUCUAGGAACUCACGAGCAACUUCCCAGUGAGUCACUCAUCCUGGGAUUGCUCUAGCCCCAACUCGCUUAACUUCGGAAUUCUCAUGACUUCGAAGCUAGUGAGCUCCCAAAAGGCCUCGUUCUAGAUGAAGGUGGGCAUGUACAUAUAAGACACAUCACCCCUUCUCCGUUGGUCGAUGUGAGAUGUUAUAAAGUGACAAAGGAGGAGAGAGAAGAGAGAAGAACAACAAAAUUUCUGGAAUUAUGUGCCCACACUCACAAAUUCAACUUCAGUCGCCCAACAUAAGUUAGUUUGAGCCCCACUAGUAGCUUAAUGCGCUUGAUUUAAUGGCAUUUGAAUUGGUGCUUCAUUAGAUAAAACAUCCUACGGCUCUAAUUUUUUACAAACUCCAAAAUCAUUAAUCUAAAGGCUCAAACAAUUUUUAAACAAACCCCAAAAUCAUCUAAUUGUCUGAAAUUGAUGGGAAAAAAUGCCUAAUGUUUUUUCUUCUAAUUUUCUAUAUACAAGCACAACCUUUGUUCACAAAAAUCACCACUCUUCAUAACUUAUCUGAAUUUAAAUAUUUUUAAGUUUAUUUAUUUAGAAAAAUAAAAUAAAUUUAACACACACAAAAUUAAUUUUAAAAUGUUAACACACAUACAAAAAAUAACCCAAAAUCGAAUUAACAUAAAUAAAUAAAAAAUCAAAUAUACAUCUUUAUCUUUACAUAUUUUAUAUUAGAAUAAAAAUCAUAUUUACAUCCCUAAAGGUGUAAAGAAAAUAUAAAAUUAACUUCACACGCUCGAACUUAUACCUCUCCACUAUAAAUGCUCUUACAACUUACCAUCGUAUCAAACUAUUUCUCUCUCUUUUUUUCUCCCCAUUUAAAAUUAAGCUUUUUGAACGAUUUUGGACUUGAUUGUGGGUGACGGACUUUUUGUUUCGGCUUCGGCUUCAUCUUGUUCUAAAAGUGCUAGAACCAAAUGGCCACGUCAAAUGCUACUUGAGGUUUGGUAUUGGGACUCCUCAUCGUGUUCUAGAAAAAUGAUUAAUAAGUUUGUCGUCAACUUUUGAGACAAGGGUGGCGGAACAUAAUUUGUUUGUCCAGCAGUCAUCCAAGUUUUUUUAUUUUAUUUUAAUAUAAAUAAUAGUCUAAAAUAUAAAAGAAGAUGAUUUCUCACACAUAUACAAUUAUAAUGUCGUAAUUUAUAGGUAUAUACAAUUAUAAUGUCGUAGUUUAUAGGUAUUCUGAUCUAAAACUUCAGUUUGUAAGUUACUACUCUCUUUCACUUAACCCCCAUCAGCUGCAGUCAUGUACAAAUGCCGCAAUCGUAAUACACACUAAUAAAAAUUAGGUAAUUACGUUAACUUAAUGAUGGAAUUGUUAUUUAUUUUACAUCAUCUAAUACCAAUGGUUGCAGAUUAGUGGGUUCCAAAACCAAUUUCUCCAAUCCUCACGUGGUUCCCAAUCAGUGAGUUAACGAUACUAAGGAAAGCUUUUGGUCGGCAACAUCAAAUCCUUGACUUUUCCUACGAAUGAGACCCGCGCGACCCACUAGCUCUAUAUAAACAAACAAGCUCCAUCUUCUUCACCCCAACCACAUCUCGCCUCCCUCUCUGCGCUAGCUAGCUAUAGCAGCAAUGGCCAAGGCUUCUCUUCUCAGACUUUCUUCGGCCAAUUUACUCCUCCACCACCUAAGAGAAGUCCGUCUGCCAACAAUCCGAGCUGCAGAGGUUGAAGAAAGCAGUAGUAGCAUUAGAGGGGCUGGAACCGAAACCCCAACCAGUCGAGCCUCACCUGCUAUCGUGGCGCCAAAUGCUGCUUUCAGCUUCUGGGGACCACAGACGACGGUGUACGCGGCUGUAUACUGCGGCGGCGGAGGUAGUAGUUUGUGGCCGGAGGAGGUCCUUCUGACUGCUCUCCCAGUCAAUGGACCCACCCGACAAGACGCUAUGUCUGCAAUCACGGCGUUCAGGUUGAAAACGGCCUUACGCCAAAGCAGCAGCAGCCGCCGUCAAGUGGUGGAUUUCUGUUUUCUGGUGCCGGCUGAGGAUGGUGACCAGAAUUUUGUGGACCCAGCACUAAACAGGGGACCCAAUUAUAUCCCGGAUCUCAAUGUCUCGCCGCCGGAUGAGACCGCGUCGGCGACGGAGUUCAUUGGAGAAAUCAAGAGCCAAAACAUCUCCCGGUUCACUGAUUACGUGGUGUGGUACCUGGGCGAGUACGGGAGUGAUGAUGAGGUGGCGGAGUACAGGAAGAUUCUGAGCAGCAAAAGUGAAGCCGAAAUCGGAAACCUUGAUUCGAUUCGUAUCUGGAAUAUUCUCACCCUGAGAGCUGAAAUUCUGAAGGCGGUCGUUGCGAA
rnacentral:lncRNA from 1 species